rnacentral:rRNA from 1 species
ACAAGAUUAAAACUCAAAGGAAUAGACGGGGACCCGCACAAGUGGUGGAGCAUGUGGUUUAAUUCGAAGAUACGCGAAGAACCUUACCUAGCCUUGACAUUGAUAGAAUCUUCCAGAGAUGGAGGAGUGCCUUUCGGGGAACUUGAAAACAGGUGCUGCACGGCUGUCGUCAGCUCGUGUCGUGAGAUGUUGGGUUAAGUCCCGCAACGAGCGCAACCCUCGUCAUUAGUUACUAACAGUUCGGCUGAGGACUCUAAUGAGACUGCCUUCGUAAGGAGGAGGAAGGUGAGGACGACGUCAAGUCAUCAUGGCCCUUACGGCUAGGGCGACACACGUGCUACAAUGGUUAGGACAAUGAGAAGCGAUACCGCGAGGUGGAGCAAAUCUAUAAACCUAAUCUCAGUUCGGAUUGUAGUCUGCAACUCGACUACAUGAAGCUGGAAUCACUAGUAAUCGUAGAUCAGCCAUGCUACGGUGAAUACGUUCCCGGGUCUUGUACUCACCGCCCGUCACACCAUGGGAGUUGAUUUCACCCGAAGCGGGGAAGCUAAACUGGCUACCCUCCACGGUGGAAUUAGCGACUGGGGUGAAGUCGUAACAAGG